rnacentral:rRNA from 1 species
AAGACCUUGCGCUUUUGGAGCGGCCGAUGUCUGAUUAGCUAGUUGGUGGGGUAAUGGCCUACCAAAGCUUCGAUCAGUAGCUGGUCUGAGAGGACGGCCAGCCACACUGGGACUGAGACACGGCCCAGACUCCUACGGGAGGCAGCAGUGGGGAAUUUUGGACAAUGGGCGCAAGCCUGAUCCAGCCAUGCCGCGUGAGUGAAGAAGGCCUUCGGGUUGUAAAGCUCUUUCAGCCGGGAAGAAAAGGCUGCGACUAAUAAUCGCAGUUCAUGACGGUACCGGAAGAAGAAGCACCGGCUAACUACGAGCCAGCAGCCGCGGUAAUACGUAGGGUGCGAGCGUUAAUCGGAAUUACUGGGCGUAAAGGGUGCGCAGGCGGUUUUGUAAGUCAGAUGUGAAAUCCCCGGGCUUAACCUGGGAACU